UCGAGAAUCUUCGGCAAUGGACGAAAGUCUGACCGAGCGACGCCGCGUGUGUGAUGAAGGUCUUCGGAUUGUAAAACACUGUAAGUUGGGAGGAAAUGAUGGGGGGUUCUCCCCUCAUUUUGACCUAUCUUCAAAGUAAGGACGGGCUAAGUUCGUGCCAGCAGCCGCGGUAAGACGAACUGUCCAAACGUUAUUCGGAAUCACUGGGCUUAAAGGGUGCGUAGGCUGUUUGUUAAGUGGGAUGUGAAAUCCCUCGGCUCAACCGAGGAAUUGCGUUCCAUACUGGCAAACUUGAGGAAGGCAGAGGUAAGCGGAACUUGCGGUGGAGCGGUGAAAUGCUUUGAUAUCGCAAGGAACACCGGUGGCGUAGGCGGCUUACUGGGCCUUAUCUGACGCUGAGGCACGAAAGCUAGGGUAGCGAACG
rnacentral:rRNA from 1 species